rnacentral:lncRNA from 1 species
AUCCUUACUCUAAUAUAUGUCAAGAUAUCAGAUAUUUCAAGAUAAAUCAAACCACUCUUUGCAUAACCAUGUAAUAAGACCAGGAGGAAAAAAAGCAAGUAAAAUGAUCAAUUAUAAGAAUUAAUACAUUUGAUGCACAAUUGCUUCUACAAAACCCCAUCCAUCUUCUACAUCCGGUCCCAUCCAGAAUCCAGAAAUUAGCACAUGAGCGUUAGAACUUACAAAAAAUUGGCAAAUAAGAGGUUUGCAAAAUUGUCUUGUUGGAGCAAAGAUGUCCAGAUAGCAGCUCUUAUUCGAAGAAAGUAUGUCUCCUCCAGAAUGGUUUGACAAGAUGAGCUUCCUUGCUGCAAAAAAAAACUCAAGUUGUCAACCAUUAAUACGUACUAG